AUAAUCUACCCAGUAAUCCGGGAUAACAUCUCGAAAGAGAUGCUAAUACCUGAUAAGCCCACGAUCUCUUCGGAGAACGAGGGAAAAGGUGGGGACCUUCGGGCCUGCCGUUGCUGGAUGAGUCCGCGGCCCAUUAGCUAGUUGGUAGGGUAAUGGCCACCAAGGCUACGAUGGGUAGCUGGUCUGAGAGGAUGAUCAGCCACACUGGAACUGAGACACGGUCCAG
rnacentral:rRNA from 1 species